rnacentral:lncRNA from 1 species
GAGAGAGAACCAAAAUUCUGAGAGAUCAAAGAGUAAAAAAAAAAAUUAUUCAGGUUGACAGAGAUGGAGAAAGAUUUUAUGCAAUAGUUUGUGACGUAGACAGCAAAGCAAUAAACGAUGACGUAUGUUAGUGAGUAAAGCAGAAAUAAAAUAAACGAGUGUAGCCAGCAAGUUGAGUGAGAGUGCGUGCGUGAGUGAGUUCUCCAAGUGGCUGAAUUUACCCAGCACUGAGAUAGAGAGAAAGAGAAAGACUAGUAACCAGAGUGGGAGAUACACAUACCUAAGGAGGAACCGUCGCCUGUUCUGUCUGUCGGUGUACUACGUAAACGGGCAUGUUGUGACAUUCAAGUGAAAAUAUCUACCGGUUGCCAUAAAAAAAAUUACAAAGAAAAUAAAUAACAAAGAAGCCAAAACACCUAAAUCAAGUAAGCUAACGUUCUUUUUAGUUGUACUAAUUGUUUUAAAUUUGAAUCAUCCAUAGGUCAGCUUGUUUAUAUUCUCUGAUCUCAUUUCUUGUCAAUUUCGUGUGUUUUUGCCCGUCCCUUCGUCUGCCCGUCCGUCCGUUCGGUCGUUUACUUACUGAGAUCUCUCUCUACCCGUAUUUAUCUAUUUAUAUAUUGAUAGUUUUAUGUAUGUUUGAUCGGUACUGAAUACUUCUUGUAAAUAAGAGAUUGUUUUUUUUCUUUUUCUUUUCACUCCUCAUUUCGACCAUCAAUCACACACCCAUUAUUUGCCUACGUUCGUUCAAACGAACGUUCUUUUCAGGAAACGAUCAGAAAUGAUGCUUGUGAUUAAUUAAAAACAAAAUUUGUUGUGAUUCCAGUACCACUACAACCACUACUACCAACAUCUCCAAUAAUAAUAAUAAUCAUUCUUUUUGUUAUAGGCACAAGGCCUGAAAUUUUGUGGGGGAAGGGGGCAAGUCGAUAAUUUCGACCCCAGUAUUCAACUGGUACUUAUUUUAUCGACCCCGAAAAGAAUAGGGAUUAUGAUAAUAAUUAUCAUUAGUAUUAAUGGUGAUUAACAGUAUCAUAUAAUUGUGCAAUGUGUAUUUGUUUGACAAAAUGUAAAAGUUAUUUUUGUCAUUAAGGCCUCCUAACAUGCUCCUCCAUGAAGCAUGUAUAUAUAUACAUACGGCCAUCAUAAACACCGAAACACGCAAACGAGGAAGUGUCACGAAACACACAUACACACACACUCACACACACACACUCACACACACAUACACACACUCAUACACACCCACUCACACACGCGCACACACACAUGUAUAUGUAUACAAUACUCUUUAAGGUGAGAUAUUUGUACACAUCCCUGUUUUAUAUACAGCAAUAAAAACAAUACAACACACGUACAUUUAGAAAUUAUAUAAAUCAACCGCAGUGUGUACCUGUACACACGAAUAUUGUUGUAGUGUAACGCACACAGUGUCAGACAGACCCAUUGCUAUCAACAUUCUUGUACCGUGACCAACUGUAAAUAAACGUGGUAUUUUAAGGCAUCUUAAAGCUUCGCUAAAUUGUCAUUGUUACUUUUGAUCAGCCAGGUAUAAAUGGUUUGUUGGGGUUCAAAACCGUUGCAUCACUCUAUAUGUUUAUAGCCAUCACACUUCACAUUUUCGCCUCUUUUAGCCGUUGGAAAAGUACGAUCGUUACUUUAUCCCAGUUUCUCAUCUACCUAAAUAUGUCUUUGUGCUGUGCCUUAUAUUACGUUUUUGUAUUAUGAUAGUUAUAUAAAGAGUAUAACAGAAUUAAGCUACCGAGAAACCAAAGUCCGUGAUGCGGUUUCAAAUCCUCUUGAGAAAGGCAUGAACGUCGCUUCAUUACAUUUCCUCCUACCCUAUUAAUUGAAGCACUGUGCCUUAUGAUGUAAGAAAUUAUUUAGUUUAUCGGCGGCUUCUUACUCGCAAUGUAAGUCAAGUAGUCUUUAACUGGUAAAUCAUACCUCAUCGCCCUUUUUAUAUCUACAACUGCACACUUAUACAAAUAAUAAUAGACGUGUGAAUUCCCAUGUCAAUAGACGGUAGAUGUUGAUCUGGAUUUCCAACUCUUAUCCACCACGAUUUGAGUCUAGAUUGUUUGACAGUCAUAAUGGUACUGACUCUCGCCAGCUCCACCCAUGUUUUGCUUGGAGACAGAAGUCACUCACGCCAAGUACCAAACACAUACACACGUGUGUGUGUGUGUCUAUAUGCACUAUAUAUAUAUAUAUAUAUAUAUAUAUAUAUAUAUAUAUAUAUAUAUAUAUAUAUAUAUGCAAACACACCAUAUAUACGUGUAUGCGUGUGUGUAUAUAUAUAUAUAUGCAAACACACCAUAUAUACGUGUAUGCGUGUGUGUAUAUAUAUAUAUAUGCAAACACGCACCAUAUAUACGUGUAUGCGUGUGUGUGUAUAUAUAUAUAUAUAUAUAUAUGCAAACACACACCAUAUAUACGUGUAUGCGUGUGUAUAUAUAUAUAUAUGCAAACACACACCAUAUAUACAUGUAUGCGUGUGUAUAUAUAUAUAUAUAUAUAUAUAUAUAUAUAUAUAUAUAUAUUUACAUACACGUAUGUAUGUGUAUACAUAUAUUAAUGUACUAAAACAACUCAAUACAAAUAUGUAUUUGUAUGGAUAAGUGUUUUUAAAAUUCAUAGCGACUUUAAAUAAGUGCAUAUGUGAGCGUAUAUGUAUAAAUUAUAUUAUCUAUAUUUUAUUUAUGUGUAUUCGUUGUACGCCUCGCCUUAUCGCUCGCUUGUUUAUUUUUUUUUUACUCACACACUCGCACUCAAACACAGUGAACAAAAUCUAAUCUAUGGCUAAGAGUUCUUCUGAUCGACUUAAUAUUACGUGUGGGCGAUUGUUUUCCUAGUGGUUGUCAUCAUUCUUUUCAAGAUAAUAUGCCAGCCUGUCUGCCUCUAACCAUUAGGUACCAAUUUUAAUUUGGUGUCUUGUCUUCCCCUCUUCCUCCGUCACAAACUUCGUCAAGCACCGAUUUAUCCUGUAAACUUCGCUUUCGCUUACAUUCUACUAUUGGACGGACCAGGAGCUUUUUGAUAAAUGUCAUAAUGUUCAUUAAAAGCGUCAGAUGAAAAUGUGUGUAUGUGUGCGAGAGAGAAUAUUGUCGAAAAUGCUUCAGUCUUUAGAAUUCAUAGCGGCUUUAAAUAAGUGCAUUAUAUAUAUAUAUAUAUAUAUAUAUAUAUAUAUAUAUAUAUAUAUAUAUAUAUAUAUUCACACACCACACACACACAUAUAUAUACACAUAUAUAUAUACGUACACAAACAUACUAAAUCACGUAUACAAGUGUAUAGAAUAAUGGAUAUCUAUCUAUAGAUAGAUAUGUAUAUUCGUAUGUACACACAUGUGUAUAUAUAAGUGUUUGUGUGUGUGUUUGCAUACGCCUAUACACGUGUGAAUUUAUAUAUAAUAUACUUACACACACACUGAAAAUAUAUAUAUGCAUACACACACAUAUAUGUAUGUCUGUAUAUGUGUAUGUAUGAAAAAUAUAUAUGUAUAUAUAUAUAUAUAUAUAUAUAUAUAUAUAUAUAUAUAUACAUAUAUAUAUGUCUAUGUAUAUAUGUAUAUAAUACAUAUAUAUAUAUGUACAUAUAUGUAUGUAUAUAUAUGUAUGUAUGUGUAUAUGUAUAUAUGUAUGUAUGUGUAUAUAUAUAUAUAUAUAUAUAUAUAUAUAGGGACAUUCGGAUUCCACUCGAAAAUAGGUUAUUGCCAGGAAUCCAAAGGGUCAGUUUUCAGUAAACCUAUGCUACUACUAUUGCCAAUAAAUGAUAUAUACAUAAACCCUUUCAUUUCUCGUAGUGCCCAUGACAACAACAUUGUGGCCUGAUUUAUUUUAAUUAAACGUGCAGUCUCAUUUUCCUAAUAUGACUUUAUGAGCCUCUUCCCCUCUCCAUUUGGAAAAAAAAAACAAACAAGUGCCCGAUUAUCUAACAUUCAUUGAAAUUAUUUUCUCUUUUACUAGUCUUUCUUAACAGCAUCCCUAUUUUGCCUUCCUCCCUACCAAAUCACUCAGUAGUUCACAAAUCCAUCCCUUUUUACUGCUGUAUUCCCCCAGCUCAAUUCUGUGAUUGCCAUGCAAGGUUCUUUCUAAAUAUAGAGAAAUACUUUCGUACUAUUGUUAAUAUUUGUUUUUUUCUGUUAAUUGCUCCCUUGGUUGUGUUUUUCUCGUCUCUCUUGUAGUCUAUACCAGCAGAAAUUGGUGUUUGUAAUCCCUAGCUGAUGCAGUAGGUAGCACCAGUUCAGGUAGAACGAACGACUCAAUGCCUGUUAGUUGCAUGUUUCCAUGUACAGUGGGAACACGCGCGCGCGAUAUAUAUAUAUAUAUGAUGAUGAUAUAUAUAUAUAUAUAUAUAUAUAUAUAUAUAUAUAUGCAUGUAUAUGUAGAUAUUUACGUGCAUGCUUUGUUUUGUGAAUGUUUGGUUGUUUAUAUUUGUAUAUGUUUCGCGUAUUGAUGUAUGUCACAUGCAUAAUUAUCAACACGCCAAACAUUCAUGCAAGUGCAUAGACACAUGCGCGCAUGUUUAUUACAUGCAUGCAUACGUGCAAUACGUACAUUGGCAUACAUAAUUUAUUAUGUGUAGGUGUUGCGACGACCUAUUCUUACACGUCCCCUGAUCUGCUGUUACCGAAGGAAUGCCAGAGAUAUUUAUAAAGGGGACAGAUGGUGGGGGGUUUAAUUUGUUUUCUUGCUAUGUGUGUUUGGGCUUUCAUUAUUUCAGAAUUUGGUGUAUAUAAGUGAAAUUACAAGAAUUUCUAUGUUUUCCUCAAAUGAAAACAAAUCCCUUUUGGCAAACAACCCCCUUUUUUGAUAUUCAAAUAAAAUCGUUAUCAAAGAUAAAUGUUUUUUCUCUUCUUUCAGCAGAGAAUUAUCAUUUAUUUCUCUUUUUAUUUUUGGUGUGGUGGUUUUUAAUAAUCAAUACAGUUUCAGG